AUUCCUUGUUCAUGACAUUCAGCCUUUGUUGUAUCAGGCCCCUGAUGUCAAACAGUGGAACCUCAUGAUGCUGAAGGUCACAGAGCUGCUGGAGGAUAAAGACAGCGUCGCGGUGAAGCUCACUGCUGCGAGCAUGCUGAAAGAAUGUCCCACGUGGAGCGAGGACGAGGAGCUCCUGCCCGCCCUGCUGCGAUGGAAGGGUCUCUCUGGAUGGGAGGUGAAGGAGGUUCUGGAGGUGUUGGACUCACUUUCGGAGCACAAACCCAGUUCCAGAUCUGUAUCCUGGUACUCCUGUUUAACCUGCUGGUGACGGAUCGACUGCAACAAGCAGAGAAGAAGACAGACUUGGACUUUUAAUCAGCUGCCUCCUGUGGAAACCCGUUCCGUUAAUUCUUCCACCGUCUGAUCUAAAGACGGAUGCACAGACAGAAGUUACAGAAGGUUUUUAUAAGAUAUGGCACAAAAGUAUGAUGAGCUUUGUGCACAAGAGGCUGCUCAUCAGUUAGCCCACAUGUUACUGUUCCUGUUUUUUCAGGGAAAGGCGAAUAGGAGUUUUUUAAACCCUUGUUGACCAAGUUUAGCUUUUUCUUUCACAAUUUGCUAAUAUGCUAAUCUGUGCUUUGGUGGGUGAUGGUUUUUUCAUGACUUUAGUUUUAAAACAAGCAAAGUGAAAGUUUUUUACAUUUUCUAUGUGUUUUUUUUUAAAGAUAUUUUGUUGGAUUAUGUUUGAGGGAGAGAGUUACACCGUUAAGUUAAGGCUGAGUUUCUGAAACUGUACUGAUUUUUUUUGACAAUCAAAUGACGACCAGAGAGGAUUUAAAGGAAAUGUUAACUUUAUUGUUCUGUUGUGCAGUUACACAUUUACUUUUAGUUUGUUUACCGUCAAUUGCUCUGUGGAUUUAAGGCACUACAUGUAGAAACGUUAAGGGAUUUUUACUUGAACUUGUUCUUAUUUAAUAUUAUUUAUUAAGUUUUGAAUUAUUUAUUUACAUGUAAGCUUUACAGAAACUUCUCAGUGUUCACUAAACAACAAUCGGUGGUACGAUAUCAAACUUCACUGUUCAGAACAAAAAAACCUGUUUGAAUUAUUCUUUAACUACAGAUUCUGAUGAUGUUCAGUAUCAUUUGUUAUUUAUGUGUUCAUGUCUAAUAAAAUCAGGGCACAGAAGUGUUUUCUAUCUGAGUUUACAGGUUUUUUAUUCCCCCUUAACUCAGUACAAAGUGCACAUUGAGUUCAUGCAUUUGUAUUAUCUUAAUGUUUAUUUUGUUGACAGUCUUUUACUGUACGUUGGGUUGGUUCUCGUCUCUUUCUGUCAGCGAUGACAUGAAUAAACUUCAGUAUGAUUCAAUGAAAAGUCAGAGUUCAGCUUCAUUGUUCCUCCACUAGAUGGAGUCCAACAUCAUCUUAAUAAAGACUCAAAAGGAAGAAGCUCCACAACACUGACAGAAAACAGAAAACAGAUCCCAG
rnacentral:lncRNA from 1 species